rnacentral:lncRNA from 1 species
CUUGGAACUCCUCCGCUAGAAUUGCUCCGAUCCACUCUGAACAUAUCAGACGCCAAUUUGCAGUUUCACCUAUACAGUGAAGAACGAUCAUUAAGAAUGCAGACUUUGACAGCGUUUUGUCCGGUAAGGCCAACUUGGCAAAAGGAUCUAAAGCGCGCUCGUCCAAGUGUUCGACCUUUCAGCAGAUACAUGAGGACGUCAGCGUCUAAGACUAUUGCAUCGGAAGGAGGAUCAACACCAGACGGGGUAAUUAGAACCUCCCUGAGUCGUACAGGCAUUCCCUAACUUGAGAAGUUCUGUUGAUCAGCUAGUGACAAGGAUCGGCCAAGGCAGCCAAAACUCGAAGUGACAAUAAAGUGCACGUCGUAUAUUGAAUUGCUUUUGUUCUUAUGCUCCACAGAAGCUGCUUCUGGUUUCGCUUGUGUCACGUUGGCCAGGUUGUUGGGGCUAACUAAAUCAAUGGCAUGCGUUUUGGUGACCUACGCCUUGCAUGAGCAGGAUACGAUACACCCAACUAGAAGGACUGUGAAUGGAGCAAUGCUUCUUGGGUUGCCCAUUUCUUUGAUCCUUCCAGGUAAAUUUGCAGGCUUCUUCAUCGUUGAAGUGUCAAAAAAGCCUCCUAAAAAUUGCACAGUCUGAGAGGCUAGUAGAAACUAAAUUUUUUUUGAACACUUCUAUUGGUAAUAUCGAAGUGUGUCAUUCAGGAGUUGCAAUUGCUGGGACAAGUGCAGACGCUGUGAAGGAACUUGAUCCCAGCAUAACCACUGUCAGCCCUCCAAAGAUCGGG